rnacentral:snRNA from 1 species
UGUGCAGUGCGAGGGUUUGCACGAAAUCACUCCUUGCCUUUUACCAGAAGUGACCGCGAGUCCCGCACAACACUGCACUUAUCAAAUCUUUGGAAACAAAUCGCCUAGCACGCUGGGUU